UGCAUGCCCUUUUGCAGCCCCUUUCC
rnacentral:piRNA from 1 species